rnacentral:rRNA from 1 species
CGUGUAGGCGGCCUCUUAAGUCUGGUGUGAAAGCCCGGGGCUUACCCCCGGAAGGGCACUGGAAACUGGGAGGCUAGAGUACCGGAGAGGAGGGUGGAAUUCCUGGUGUAGCGGUGAAAUGCGUAGAUAUCAGGAGGAACACCGGUGGCGAAGGCGGCCCUCUGGACGGAUACUGACGCUGAGACGCGAAAGCGUGGGGAGCAAACAGGAUUAGAUACCCUGGUAGUCCACGCUGUAAACGAUGGGCACUAGGUGUUCGGGGUAUUGACCCCCUGAGUGCCGCAGCUAACGCAUUAAGUGCCCCGCCUGGGGACUACGGCCGCAAGGUUAAA